CCCAUUUUCUGUAAGAGCUGCAAGUGGCAAACAAGAUUUUGGCAGGGAAAUGUUCACUAUGAAAGCCUCUUCUCUACUUGGGUAUAAUUAAAACAGCCAAGGCUAUGUGACCCCUCUCAUCACACAACCAGGUUUGUGACUCUUGUUUUGGAGGCUGUCAGAAAGCAUCUUAACAAUUAAGUGCAUCUGGAUGGUCCCUGACUCCCUGUCCCAAGUCAGAGUUUCCUAAAGGGUCACAAGAGGAAGAGAAGAAACAAGAAUCUCUAGGGAGACUUAUUAAGAACGCAGCACAGACUCAUGCAUUUGAGAAGAAAUACUAGGGCUGCCAAUGUUUAAGAGCCAUAAAUGCAUUCCAAUUCAAGGAGGACUAAUUUAUAGAGCACUAAGUGGAUGCCAGGCUCAGCUGGGUAAGAUCUUUCUGAGGGCAGUCUCUAUCAUGCAGCUGGGAUCCUGGAAACUAAAGGGUUGAGAGAUUUGCAUGUGCUGAAUUAUCUUCCAAUCCCUCUAAACUUCAGACCACAGAAUGAGGACCAAAUAU
rnacentral:lncRNA from 1 species